rnacentral:rRNA from 1 species
CCUGAUGCAGCCAUGCCGCGUGUGUGAAGAAGGCCUUAGGGUUGUAAAGCACUUUCAGCGAGGAGGAAGGCAUCACACUUAAUACGUGUGGUGAUUGACGUUACUCGCAGAAGAAGCACCGGCUAACUCCGUGCCAGCAGCCGCGGUAAUACGGAGGGUGCAAGCGUUAAUCGGAAUUACUGGGCGUAAAGCGCACGCAGGCGGUUUGUUAAGUCAGAUGUGAAAUCCCCGCGCUUAACGUGGGAACUGCAUUUGAAACUGGCAAGCUAGAGUCUUGUAGAGGGGGGUAGAAUUCCAGGUGUAGCGGUGAAAUGCGUAGAGAUCUGGAGGAAUACCGGUGGCGAAGGCGGCCCCCUG